AUCAUUAUCUGAUUAAUGCGGAUACUUUUCACUGUCCGAAGGUUCAAAGGUCAUCUUUUGUACAACGGUAUUCAUAUUUUUGGAACAAAACAACGCUUUACAGAAAACAUUUGCAAGGAUAUUAGCAUCAAUUCUUAAAAGGACGUAUGCACCAUUUUUAAGAAAGGAAACGUAAAAUAUAUCAAGGUUACUGGUGGUGAAAAUGAGCUGAAAAGAAAGAAACAGACCAGUAGUAAUAAAGAAAUCACAGCUGAGGUUGCUGUGAUUGAAUGGACAAAGAAAAGGGUGUUUAUUUGAAUUCUUGCUGAUAAUGGUAAAUGGAGUUUUCAAA